UACGUAGGGGGCAAGCGUUGUCCGGAAUCAUUGGGCGUAAAGCGCGCGUAGGCGGCCCGGUCAGUCCGUUGUGAAAGUCAAAGGCUCAACCUUUGAAUGCCGACGGAUACUGCCGGGCUAGAGUCCGGAAGAGGCGAGUGGAAUUCCUGGUGUAGCGGUGGAAUGCGCAGAUAUCAGGAGGAACACCUAUAGCGAAGGCAGCUCGCUGGGACGGUACUGACGCUAAGGCGCGAAAGCGUGGGGAGCGAACAGG
rnacentral:rRNA from 1 species